CCUGCCCCUAGAGGCAUUGCUGUUAUGGCUGCUGUAUCACAUGUGUAUCAGUAGGUGGCAGAGACGAGACAGGCUGUGUCUAUGCUCAAGUGUUCUGACCUGGGAUACCCCCGGAAAAAGGCAAGCCUAAGACA
rnacentral:snoRNA from 1 species